AGCAACAGAGCGACAAUAGAAACUGCAAUAAUAAUGGAAGUGCGCCGCCCUACAGGGAAGGAGGAGUGAUGGGAGUCCAGGUGGUGGCUAAGCGCGCGUGGGGAGAGGCGUCAUACUGUGAGGCUUCAUGAACUUCCGAUGGAGCAGUGCUGUCAUACAGCGGGGAGCCUGAGAGGGGCACUGUGGCCGGGUGCGAGAGCCCUGGGUAAUGAGUUGUAGAGCUGCGCAGGAACUGAGAGCCCAAGCUGUUGGACAUUCCAUUGGACUAGGAGACUGGGAGUGCAAAGUACAAAGGAAAACAAAGAGUAACUAUGGCGAAAUAAAUCAAAGCAUGUCCCAGAAUGCAGUGAUGGGCCUGAAUGGAUCAGGACAGAAGAAGGUGAAAGACCUGUUAACGAGGUGAAACGAUGAGGCGAGAACAAGAGGGAAGACGGGGGCCGGAGACUCAGCAUGGGGGCAGGUUGGGGGAGGGAAGCACGGGCUCACCUGGAGCUGCUCCCGGAGGUGCUGCUAUGACUCAUGGGUAACAUGCCGGAAUGGGACGGCACCUGUAGGCUGGACCAGUUGUCAUGGGACGGCAACAUGGACAGACAGGUAGACGAGCUGUCUGAAUAAGCAGCUGCAAGUAUAAAACAAUAAAUGAAGCAGGUAUGUGGUGGGCAGUGUUACAGCGUCCUUAAUAUGGCCAACACAGAAAAGGCAUGUCAUCAUGUUAUGUAUAUACUGCCUCCAGUUACUUAAUGCCUAACUUUAAUACAUUGAUUGAUUUGUUCACUGCUGUAGCCUGUGUCAACUUUCCUUUCAGACAGAUGUAAAGUCCUUUCUGUUUUUGUUCUGUGGAGUUUUUUUUGAACAGCAUAUGGCUGAAUUCUGUUAAACCUCAGAUUGAAGAAAAUUGUGUUAAUUGAAAAGCAAAUAUCAAAAACUCAGUCCGCAGGAAUGUUUUUCAGAAGAUUUCUGUGGACUUUUGGAAAUUUCACGAAAUUCCAUCGCUCGAUUACAUAAACACUGAGUGAGAUUUCAUUCCCAUUACUGCAACGUAUGAAGAGGAUUAUGAUUUAUUACUUUAGGUUAUCGGACUGAGUGAGUUUUGGAAAUUUGCUCUUCAAUCGAUAACUGAAGCAGGGCUGUGAAUGCAGAGGUUAAUAUACGUUGCAUAUCAACAGAACUGUAUGUUUAUGUCUUGUCUUAAUUAUUUUGAUUAAAUGUCUGACUAUUCCCAA